GUCUAUGGUCAUACCACCCUGAACGCACGAGAUGUCAUCUGAUCUCGGGAAGCUAAGCAGGGUCAGACCUGGUUAGUACUUGGAUGGCAGAUCACCUGGGAAUACCAGGUGCUGUGGGCU
rnacentral:rRNA from 1 species